CUGGGCCCGCUGGACCCGCGCUCUAGGAACCGCAGACUGGAGUUGACAGCUGUGGGGAGGGCCCGGAUAGGAAGCUGCGGGCCGCGGCAGACCCCUGUCCCCAAAGUCACUUUCGGCCUCUGGUGGAAUCCUGGAGGUUUCCACAGCUCCACGGUUGGUCGACUUUGCGGGAAUGCCCUUGUCACUGGCAACCACGUCCAAACAGCUGCCGGGAAAUGCGCUCCCGGGUCCCCCCAAACAGGUCUCCUCUUUCUCCGCAUGGGGGCGCGGGGCCUCUUUCCGGGCGGGAACCCCAGUGUUUCUAGACCAGGGAAAGACCAGCACCCUUUUCCAGAGCUCUCGCCACUCCCAGCCACUUCCGGCCGCUAACGGUUCCAGAGCGCCGCGGGCUGGGGAGGGGGAUGCGGCCCGAGGCUGUAACGGCGUGGGGAGCUGAGCCCGGAGCCAGGCGCUGGGCACGGUCGGGAGAAGGGCUGGCGGGGGAAAUAGACAAGCCAGAUGCCUCCCAGAGAAGCCAAGAAUAUAUUAUUGCUCCUCAGGAAAAUCCUGCUCUGUUGGUUUUGCUAAGAAGGUGGAGUCCAGGCUGAGCAGAGCUCAGAAUGAGCAUAGAUAAAAAAUUCUGCACCACUCGUGAUGUCACCAGGGCUUCUCUCCAGUGUGGAUUCGCUGAUGUACAAUGAGGUAUGAGCUCCGCUGGAAAGCUUUUCCACACUCAUCACACUUAUAGGGCCUCUCUCCAGUGUGGAUUCGCUGGUGUCCAACAAGAGCUGAACUAUGACUGAAGGCCUUUCCACACUCAACACAUUCAUACGGUUUCUUCCCACUGUGGAUUCUUUGGUGAUGCAAAAGGCCUGAGCUCUGGCUGAAGCUUUUCCCACACUCACUACACUGGUAUGGCUUCUCUCCAGUAUGGACUCUCUGAUGUUGUAUCAGAUGUGAGCUCAGA